AACGAACGCUGGCGGCAGGCCUAACACAUGCAAGUCGAACGAGAAGCGUGCCUUCGGGUGCGUGGAAAGUGGCAGACGGGUGAGUAACGCGUGGGAACGUACCCUUUGGUUCGGAACAACUCCGGGAAACUGGAGCUAAUACCGGAUGUGCCCUUCGGGGGAAAGAUUUAUCGCCAAGGGAUCGGCCCGCGUCGGAUUAGCUUGUUGGUGGGUAACGGCCUACCAAGGCUAUGAUCCGUAGCUGGUCUGAGAGGAUGAUCAGCCACACUGGGACUGAGACACGGCCCAGACUCCUACGGGAGGCAGCAGUGGGGAAUAUUGGACAAUGGGCGCAAGCCUGAUCCAGCCAUGCCGCGUGAGUGAUGAAGGCCUUAGGGUUGUAAAGCUCUUUCGCCAGGGACGAUAAUGACGGUACCUGGAUAAGAAGCCCCGGCUAACUUCGUG
rnacentral:rRNA from 1 species